GUCACACAUCAUUUGAAUCCCGGCCAAUGUUAUGACGUCUUAUUUAAGAGUUGCGAAAUGUUUUAAGAACGCUUAGUUAGAUACAUUUUUGUAUUGCGUUUUAGGCAUAUCUUCAUGUCUAAAAAUUGUUUCUCGUUUUCAAGGCACAGACGUGAAUGAUACCUAAUCACGAGCUACGAUCUUUAUAACGCUGACGACAUGCAAAACGACCCUCGGGAGCAGACGAUAGGAAUUCUGACUGUGACAACUGAUUCAGAUGAUUCUUAUUUAAGAAGGGUACAUGUAUUUAUCUACGAUGACAGUGAACGCUCAAUGAAAUAUAUUCGACUGAUUUCAAAUAGCUUCAUGUUUGACGGACACCUGGUCGAAUCAUAUCAACUUCUAAGAGGAGACCUUCCCGGAUACAGACCUCUAUCGGAAGCGAACGUGAGCAUUGUGCUAUUCCCAGAGAUCUAUCGGACAGACUCCGGCUUACUUAAACUAAUAGCCAAUGUUUUGUGUGACAAGGGAAAAGUAAAUGCACGAAAGUUACUGUUGGCUAAGUUUGACGAUUCGGUGAUACCAUCGUAUUUAGAAUUCGAAGAUGAUCUCGAUCUUACCAAAGACACGUGGAUGGAAACCCUGCAGACACGGAUCGGCUACACAACGUAAAUGGUCAGGUUUGGUAAGAGUGAAAGUAUUGGAGACCAUCUAGACGAUAUAAAGGUUGAUUCGAUGAACAUACAGAAGAGUCCUAAAAUUCGUUAUGACCAUCCCGCCCAACAUUUGGUGACGCCCGAGGACGACACAUGUAUAUACAUGGUACGCGGAGACACCAGUGACGAGUUAGAUACCUCCAGACAAAUCACAAAUCUCCUCUCCAUCGCGGGAGGAUAUAUUUGUGAAUCAUUUUCUACAUCUGAUCAGGCCAUUCAAUUUUUACCACAGUUUUUGCGUUGCUUUCCGAAAUUACAAACCGUAGUUCUGAUCUUGGAAACAAUAUACGGUGCCAAAUCUAAGGCGUCUGACUACGGUAUUCUACUGCGGGAGAACAGUGACAUUGUGGUUCUUUCGAUUGAAUUAUGUCAUCUCCGAGGACCACACGACUGCAUACAUACGUCAGAUCGAAAACCAGGCCACAUCAAACUUAUUGGAAAGUAUAGGGAUUGGUACAGAUUGAUACUCGACGAAGUUAAAAAUGUCGUGAAAAAGAAUGCCCCAGCGAAGAUGAGAUAUGUUGGCAGAGUGAUGAACGCAGUGAAUGAUGCAGCCGUAGUAACCAGAAAAAACUGCAAGCCUCGGCCUGUCUGUCGUGCGACACGUAACAAGAGGAAUGCUUUGCCGACGAUACUGACUCCAGAUGAUAGCGUCAACAUUCCAUUGCUAGACGUAUAUGACCCCAAAGCAGAUGGGAAUCAGUUGCCAGCAGAUUCAAGUUGGACAAAUCCAUCACAUCAGGCAGUUCGGAGAAGCUUUCCAGCAGAUUCCGAUACGUGCUGGACUCGUUUGGCACCCCUAGCAGUCAGGAAUCACUUACUAGCAGAUUCAAAGCUAAGGAAGGAGAACUCACAUCUGGUAUGGAGAAAGAUACCCAAUACCAGUCAAUGUUUGAGUUAUUUGAUGCUGAUAAAGACGGGAGUAUUACACUAGAUGAGCUCUGCGACGUGGUAAAACAACUCGGGCUUGACUGGGAGAAAGACGUUAUCGAAAACGACAUGAAAAAGUUCGACAUAGAUGGGAAUGGUACGAUAGAAAUAGGCGAAUUUUUGACGAUGAUGGAAUCCUACAAGGUUGAUCCGGAAAAAGAGAUAAGACAGAUGUUUGACGUCAUCGAUAAGGAUCGGGAUGGAUCGAUAACGACAGAAGAAAUCUUGCGGACAUGGGAAAGCAUUGGCUUCGAAUGUACAAUGCAGGAAGUCAAACGUAUGAUCGCUGAUGGGGCGAAGACCACAAUGGCGUCAUCCACUUUGAAGAGUUCAAGAAGAUGUGCAAGAAAUUAAAAAUCCACCAGACUGGACCAGCUUCCAAGGGAGGACAUUAACGUUAUGAUGAAACGUACAUUAACCCUAUCACCCCUAUGUAACUUUAGUAGACUCUACCAGACAUUGAUCUGGAUGAGUCCAUUAUGGUCUACAGUGGUGAAAGGCAUAACAAAUGUUUUAUAGUGAACAUAACCAUGAUUGAGCCAAUCUCUGAAUAUCCAGAUUCAAUGUCGGUGGAAGAAAAUAUACAUGACAUGUACAGAGGGCCUUAUCGGUUAUAUGAGAGCAUCUGAAUUGGCCAGAAAUUGGUUUACUGUUGCAAUAUUUUAACAACUGGAUGCGAACAGUGUGUGUUUUGGUUAAUUUUAGCAAUAAUCUUGUAGAAAUCUCUUCCUGUUAUAACUGAUGCAAACAAUAGUAGGCAUAGAAUGUUUAAGUUGUAUAUUGAAAGAAAAAAUAAAAUCUUAAGUUUUAGUUCAGGGGUUGAAUUAGAUUCCGGAGCCAAUCGGGUUUGGUUUUAUUUUGAUUCACGUCCUAUCAACAGCUAAGGUCAUAUAAGGUCAUAUAAGGACGUGCCUCUAUAUAUAUAUAUACGUAUGUCGUGUAUGCAUUUUCUAUGAUUGAUAGAAAAUGAGUAGAAGGGAGACAGUAUGGAGUGAAUGGAUAGAAGAGAGAGGGAGCCGUCUGUCCUAUAUGUUUUAACUGUAUAUGACUAGUUUUUUUAAGAUGGCUCCUAGGCCUAAUGUUGCCUUAUCCCAACACUAGUCGUUAGCAGCACCAAGUCUGGACCGGUAGUGAGGUAGAAAGCCGCCAACAUUAACACCAGCUCCUAACUAUUUCAUACAUUUGGUUUGUAUAUAAAAUUUUAAAGUCCUUCUAAAUGUCUUAAAUAAAAAAAACUAGUUCUAACGGUCGAACAUUUGGAAUAAAGCUUACCCUAACAUCUGUCCAGGCGUUUACGCGCUUACUCGUUUUCGAAAAACUCUGAGGGAUCUUUUUCAUACCACCAUUUAUAGUCCCAUCCGACGGACUGCGUGUUAGUGGUUAGAGUAAUGCAGGUGCUGUUUUUUGUUGUUGUCCGUUCAUGUUAUCCACUCUUCGUCUUUCGUCAUUUAAAAUAAAGCUGACUGAACUUUACCAACGUCCUCUUUCUUAUAAACCUUUUCUUGUCUUUCACCUGAUCCUAUUCCUCUUUCCGACAUUUACGUUUUUUGUUAAAGCGUGAUUAUUAGUGAGGAUAGGAGGGGAGAGAGAGUGUACAAUCGUUACGAUUUAGUAUGUGGGUGGGGCAGGGGGGUAUGAAAGAAGUGAAGGGAACCAUGGAGAUGUGUUGUUUGAAGGGGAGAGGAGAUGGGCCUUUAUUAUAAUA
rnacentral:misc_RNA from 1 species